UACGUAGGGUGCAAGCGUUGUCCGGAAUUAUUGGGCGUAAAGAGCUCGUAGGCGGUCUGUUGCGUCGGCUGUGAAAACACGGGGCUUAACCCCGUGCCUGCUUCCGAUACGGGCAGACUAGAGGUAUGCAGGGGAGAACGGAAUUCCUGGUGUAGCGGUGAAAUGCGCAGAUAUCAGGAGGAACACCGGUGGCGAAGGCGGUUCUCUGGGCAUGUCCUGACGCUGAGGAGCGAAAGUGUGGGGAGGCGAACAGG
rnacentral:rRNA from 1 species